AGUACCCUGCUUUGCGCGUGAUGGGGAAAACUAUUGAGCCAACGUCUAUUUGAAGGGGAGACCCCCCCGGCGGAUCGGAGCAUGGCUCCUCGAGAGUUCGCGAAGGACGCAGGAAGGGUCACCCACCUUUGCAGGUGGUUCAAAUAGAUUCUCUCACACGGCAAAGCGGGGUCUUU
rnacentral:other from 1 species